rnacentral:rRNA from 1 species
GAGUUUGAUCGUGGCUCAGAGCGAACGCUGGCGGCAGGCCUAACACAUGCAAGUCGAGCGCCCCGCAAGGGGAGCGGCAGACGGGAGAGUAACACGUGGGAACGUACCCUUCAGUUCGGAACAACCCAGGGAAACUUGGGCUAAUACCGAAUACGUCCGUAAGGAGAAAGAUUUAUCGCUGAAGGAUCGGCCCGCGUCUGAUUAGCUAGUUGGUGAGGUAACGGCUCACCAAGGCGACGAUCAGUAGCCGGCCUGAGAGGGCGACCGGCCACACUGGGACUGAGACACGGCCCAGACUCCUACGGGAGGCAGCAGUGGGGAAUAUUGCACAAUGGGCGGAAGCCUGAUGCAGCGACGCCGCGUGAGGGAUGACGGCCUCGGUU